rnacentral:rRNA from 1 species
AUGCCAGGACAUCACCAUGGCAACAUCAAGGAUGUGACCAUCAUAGGCUUCCGUGCAGCAAAGAGCAUGGUCGAACUAACUUGCCAUAUUCUUGAGAAUGCAACAUUACUCGAGUGUCUCACUUUGGACGCGGUAUAUGAUAAUGGUAUUGAGGAGGCUGAUCGGUCUUGUGUCAACAAAAGUUACAAGUGCAGCCCUCUGAUUGGCAAGCGGAUGAUUGCUCAAGCCCACAAAGGCCUCUGGGCCAUUGGAAGAUAUGUUGCAGACAAAGUUCCCUCCACCGUCAAGUUAAAUGUUAAGAAGCUCUGCGAACGUUGCCAUGUAAUGGAAUGA